UCUUCAGUCAUCAGGCCCCUACCCAGGCUCAGACGCCGAGUCCGGGAGCUGUUUCAGGGAACGUCCGGGAAGGUUCCUGGUUUGCCUCCGUAUAAAGUUACAGAUUGCUCCAGGCACCCACCCACCCUCCCACCACCUCAUAAGCUCUUACAAAUCACAGCUAGAUGUUCACUGCGUGCCAUGGAGCCCAGGGCCCAGAAGGAGUGGGGCUUUCCCUUGACUCUCCAAGCUGCUUCCUUCCUCAUCGCUCCUCUACCCCAGUCCCCUCUGCAGGCUGCAGGCAAAAAACAAACACCUGCUUAGUCAUAACUGAACCGUGCUGAGGAAAGAGUGCCCACCUGCUGCUGCUUCCAGCUCUGCUCUUGCUGGCCAAGGAGCUCCUGAGCCCGUUUAUCAUCUCCUGGGAAUAGAGCUGACUCAGUGCAUUGGCUUCCUGUUUGACCUGGGAGCGGUUGGCAGCCAACAGCUUGGAUGAGAAGCAGGUGGAGCUGGUGGCUGCCUAUGUAAUAUGGCUUGAAUUUUUCUCCCCUGACCUGUCCUCAGUGCUUGAAAUUUGACUGCCAGAAGUUAGCAUCCAAUCCACCAUUCAGUUUUGGAAGGUUUUGUUUGUUUUUGGUCUUCAGUUCUCUCAAGUUUUGGAGGAGGGGCCACUCUUUAAAUAUGAUAAUUAAACAUCUUAAAAGGGACUCGCAAAAAAUUCUAAAAAUGACAAGAGUCUGUUUAUAAGUGACUUACCCAGAAUUACCCCAUUUCUGAAAUGACAAUUUCAUACACUCUACUCUUGGAACAUAACUCCGAGUUCUCUGACCUGCCCCCUGGGUUACUCUCAUUUACCUUGCUCUUCAGACUCCUGGAGACCUCUCUUGCCAUGACUGGUUCACAGUGUGUCUGACAUAAGACACACACAGCUGCAACUCAAGGUAGACUUCUGUGAGUUUAUGUCUACUAUUUCCC